CCCUUUCUUUUGUAUUUAAAGGUGUUGCUUAUUUAUGCUCCAGUGUUUUGUUCACUGUUGCUCCUUAAUUUUGUCUGGUUAUUAUUAAGAGUAAGUUGCACUUAGUUAUAUUAGGAAGACUUGCUCCCAGCAAAUUAUCGGUUGAAUGGAUUGUUUUAAUUAGUUAUUCCCUCUGUUCAUUAAUAUAAGACAUUUUGAUGGUUUAAUUUGAACUGCCAAAACGUCUUAUAUUAAUGAACGGAGGUAGUAUCAUACUAUUACUUCUGUUUUUCCGCAAGUUACCAGUUGCAACUAUUUGUUCUUACCUGCUACAAAUAAUAAUGCUACCGGAUCUUAUUUGUGCAAGUUUUUUUUUGGAGAAAAUGGUGGACUGUUCAUGUAAAGAGUGACCGAGGUAGCAUGUCACAUGUUAUUGUCUGUAUCCAUAAGCAAUUUUUUGGCUGCUGUGAUUAAGUUGCUGGGUUAAUCUGAGCCAUUAGCGGACAUUCCCUUACGUUUUCUUUAGUUUGUUCAGAAGCUUUCCCCAAUUCUGUCUGUCACCACUGCAGUUUUUGGUUCAGGCACCAGACUAAAUUUAGGUGAACUUCAAAGGGUGUGUGAUUUGUUAGCUUCUUAACUUAUUUCCUUGUUAAGUAAGCCUUUGGGUUAUUCUGCUUUGUUGCUGCCUUCUUUGUACAUACAGUUUUGGUCUUUUGCAUCGCUUUGUCUUGCACUCUUCCUGGCAAGCUUAUAACAGUGAUGGCCUUUGUCCAUUUAGACAUAUCAACUAUUUGAAUUAUCAAAAUUCGCUACAUUUGGUUACCACCAGAUGUUUGUCUGUUGACAAAACAUGGUCCAGGAAGGCAUUUUGUCUGCUCAUGUUUUUUUGAAAUGGAAUUCUGAUUCGGGGCAACGAUGAUUGACUAUUGCUGAUAUAAAUAAGCAUGCUCUCGAGCAAUCGAGUGAGCUGUGAGUAUGAAGUUGGAUCCGCUCUCGUCUCUUGGAGCCGUUUCAACCAUGACAAGAAUUAUGGAACGGAGGGAGUAUAUAUUUGUUGUGGCUCUAUCCUUGGAAGGUCAUUUUGAUGAGUGAUAACCAGGGCAGCUCCACAGUAUAAACGGGUUGAUCUGGUGUAAGAGAUGGCGGGGGUAGGUUAUAUGAUCGAGCAAAGGCGAAUCUGAGCCCCCUCAAAUGCAUCUCUAGUGCUCCAUCAGCAUAAUGUGCUACAUUGUUUCUCUUUUUUCAUCUGUAUUUGAAGGUGUCGCUUAUUUAUGCUCCUGUUUUUAUAGCUGUCCUGUCUAUAUUUCUUCCCUCUUACCUUUAUUGCGUAAGAUGUUCUUGCUCUUUUUUGUUGCGUUCUUGCAUCUAUCACUAUAGUACAUCAAGUAUCAGCCAAAAAAAAGGGCUAUGAUAAAAGGUUGCGUGCUUGGCCAGUAAUUUUAAUAUGCGAGGCCUCCAUUGGCUAUGUAUACUAUAAUGUUCUCUUGCCAUGUAUGUGUUGAGUGUUGGUUAACAAAACGGAAAUGUUAAGUGAAAUUCUUCUAUAUCAAACGAAUUCUUUAUACAGAAUUUUAUAGUUCUAUUGGAUUGCCAAUAAUAGUUUGUAUACUGGUCUACCAUUGUGUCUCUCCAUGAAUGCGGUACUGCUGAGCAAGCCUGAGAAGCCUUUGUAAUAGUUUGUAUAUUUGAGCAGUUUUUUCCUUUCAACUGCUGCGAUAAUGCGUGCAAUUUCAUCUUGAUUCUAAAGUACAUCUUUCCUUUCUACUUGAAGUUAGAUGAAGGUCAGUAGGCAUCAGGAGGAUUGCAUAGCCCAAUAUCCUCCCUUGUUACAUAAUUUUGCAAGCUAUUGGUGACCUCAAAUUAUUACGGGUUUUGUAUGCCAAACAACGCUAUCUGUUUAAUGCAAAAUAUAUUGUUUGUAUUGCCAUUCCUCAAGAUUUCUGGUUCCUCCUAAUUUUGAGGCACUAUUUGGUUUUGCUUGACAUUCAUUUUGAUGGUUAAAAUGCAGGCAGUGGUUCUUUAUUGUUUGGUCAUUUUAUUUCUCUUAUCUUAGUUGUACUUGUUCUUUAUUGUUUGGGAUUUUGUAGCUUUCAGGAGAUAGCCUCUUCUUGGUUACUUCUUCAGUCUUGUAAUCCAUGAUCAUUUUGCUGCUCUCUGUCGAUAGCAUAUUCUUGGUUGGUUCACCAUCCUUUAGAUGAUUUUGCAUGUAGGCAUGUAGGCAUUACUAUUGAUGAUGUUCCACAAGAUUCUGGAUCCUCCUGACUUCGAAGGAUGUUUGUUUUGUUAGCUUCUUAACUUCGGGGUAAUUCUGUGUUGUUGCUGCCUUCUAUUUACAUAUAGUUUUGCAUCACUUUGCUUUGCACUCUUCCUGGCAAGCUUAUAACAGACCUUUGUCCAUUAGACAUAAAUUUGCUACCAUUUGGUCACCGCCAGAAGUUUGUCUGUUGACAAAACAUGGUCCAGGAAGGCAUUUAGUCUGCUAUGUUUUUUUGAGAUAGAAUACUGCUUCGGGGCAACGAUGAUUGACCAUUGCUGAUAUAAGCAUGCUCUUGAGCAAUUGAGUAAGCUCUGGGUAUUAUAAGCUGGACCCUCCCUCAUCUCUUUGAGCCGUUUCAACCACGACAAGAAUUGUGGAACGGAGGGAGUACUAAGAGCAACUCUAGUAGAUUUGCUAUAUUUUUGGUGGCUCUGUCCUUGGAAGGUCAUUUUGAUGAGUGAUAACCAGGGCAGCUCCGCAGUAUAAUCGGAUUGAUCUGGCGAUAAGAGAUGAUGGGGGUAGGUUAUAUGAUCGAGCAAAGGCGAAUCUGAGCCCCCUGACACCUUCAGUGUAAUGUGCUACGAUUCUCUAUUUUCUCAACAUUUGAUUUGAAGGUGUUGCUUAUAUAUGCUGAUGUGUUUAUAGCUGUCAUGUGUAUGUAUUUCUUCCCUUGUACCUUUAUUGCGUAAGUUGUUCUUGCCCUUUUUUUUGUUCUUGCAUCUGUCUGCACUAAAGUAUCAGCCAAGAAAAAUUUGUACUUUGAUGCAACAUAUUCAGUGGGUUUUGUUCCCACUAUGCAACUUAAACGGAUUGUCGUGGCCCCCAGCACACUAUACUUUGUGGUUGCACACAUGCAUAGCAAAAUACUCCAAAUCUGUUGUGGUCUAAUGAUGCUCUAUCAUGUAUUUUAAGAAGCAUGCCUUAGAGCAAGCUUCUGUAUCACCGCCCUUCUCCACAGAAGCAUGUUCAAGUUAUAAGUCAGUGUUGGUGGUGCUGUAAUCCGUAUGGUCAAUCGGAUAAUCAGUGCAUCAUGCUCGUCAUAUACUUUUUGGAUGCAACCAAGAGUGCAUGUUCAUACUAAAUGCUGUGAAUAAAAGGUUGUGUUCCUGGUCAGUAAUUUUGAUAUGUGAGCCCUCGUUUGGUUAUGUAUAAUAUGUUGGUCUCACCAUGUAUGUGUAAUGAAAUGAUAAUGUUCAGUGAAAACUUUUCAAUAUCAAACAAAUUCAUUGUACAGAGUUUUUAGUUCUAUUGAAUUUCCCAUGAGAGUUUGUAUACCGGUCUACAGUUGCGUCUCUUCAUGAAUGCUGCCCUGCUGAGCAAGGCUGAGAAGCCCUUGUACCAAUAGUGUGUAUUUGAGCUGUUUAUUUCUUUCAACUGCGAUGAUGUGUGCAUGUAGUACAUCUUUCGUUUCUACUUGAAGGCAUUUCGAGGAUUGCAUAGCCAAAUAUCCCCCCUUGUCACAUAAUUUUGCAAGCUAUUGGUGACCACGUACUGUUACGGGUUCUGUAUGCCAAACAAUGCUAUUUCACAAGAUUUUUUGUUCCUCCUAAUUUUGAGGCACUAUUUGAUCUUGCUUGUCAGUAAUUUUGUUGCUUUUACAUUUCAACUAAAAUGCAGGCACAGGGCAUGUUGUUGGGUAAUUUGAUCUUUUUCCCUCUCCUACGUCUACUUGUUCUUUAUUUGUUUCUGAUCAUUUUGCUGCUCUCAAGAGAUGCCUACCAUAUUCUUGCUUGGUUCAUCAGUGAUUUCAUCCCUUUGGUGCCAACCAAAUUUCAUGCUGAUUUUAUUGGCUCUAGCUGUGAUCUUGUAGUUAUUGCUGCCUGUGGAACAUGUUUUAGCGUCUCCUCAGUUAGGUUCUAGAGUGGUUGCACUCUGUUAUACGUACUAUGGUAGACUUGCCGGCUUGUUUUUAAAUGGUCGUCAUACUAGCAUUGUUUGCUCCCAGCAAGUUACCAGCUGCAGCAUUUUGUUCUUACAUGUGAUAGGGAACGAUGCUAGCAUUUUGUUCUUACCAGCUGCAGCAUUUUGUUCUUACAUACGACAAAGAAUGAUGCUACCGGAUUUUCAUUUUGAGAGUGCUGAAUUAUUGAUGUGAAGUAUGACCGAGGUAGUAUGUUCCAUGUUGUUGUCUGUAACCAAAAACAAUUUUUUGACUGCUGUGACUGAUUGAGUUGCUGGGUUUAGCUGAGCCACUGAGGUGAUUCUUGGAGAUGCUCUACUCCUUCACUUGAUGGACCCAAGAUAUCGUUGCCGUAAGAGUGUCUUUCUUGAAGUCUCGUUGUACUGGUGCCUUGAGUGCCACAGGUUUCUCGCACACCGUGCCUUCUUAAAUCCCACACUACCUUGGCAAUGACGCUGGCGAGAUUGCCUUCUUAAAUCCCACGCCAUGCUGGCGAGUUGCAGGGAGUGACGGGAAGAUAUGGCAGCCCCCCCCUCCUCGCCGCCAUCCCGGUGCUGCUGUUGCUCCUCGUGGUGUGCCUUCUUAAAUCCCACACUACUUUGGCAGUGACGCCGGCGAGCUGCAGGGAGUGACGGGAAGAGAUGGCGGCCUCCCCCCUCCUCGCCGCCAUCCUGGCGCUGCUGUUGCUCCUCGUGGCAUUCUUGCCCGCACCGGCAGCAGAAGUGAGCCCCUCCAAGCAUUAAAUCGAAUACAACUUCUACGAAGCAGCAAUGUGGUUGGAUGGUUAGAAGAAUAGUGAUAUCCUCAUCUCGUCAGGGCUCAAGUCCUAAAUUUAAUCAAGUCCUAAAUUUAACAUUGAUGCUUGCAUUAUUUUUAAAUUUAUCUCAGACUUUCAACGAUAUUUGCUUAGUCAUCACUGCCCUUUGUUUAGUGCAGGACCGUGUCAGUUCAUCUGUAUGUGUAAGGGUUGAGUCUUGUAGGUAACAUAGUAUGGCAUGCGGUCGACUGGUGGCCCGUAUCUUCAUCCUUGGCAUGCUUCUCCUAGGUUAAUAUAUACUACAUCCGUUCCUAAAUGAAGUAUAAGACCUUUUAGAGAUUUUUACUAUGAACUACAUACAUUUAUUUUAAGAUGUAGGUUCACUCAUUUUACUUUGUAUCUAAUCUAUAAUAAAAUCUCUAAAAGGUCUUAUAUUUAAAAACUGAGGGAGUAGAAGCAUAGAAGUUGUCACUCGAGUGAGUCACUUUGCUCCACAAUCCUUUUGCUCUGUGGUACACACCGUGCGUGCCACAGCUGCAGCCCAGCAUCGCUGUUCGUCGCUUGGUGCUGCUGUUGGUGCUGCUGCUGCUGCUGCACGUCAACCGGGAUUGGAUGGCUCGUGCCACUGGCGCCACUACGAUUGUGGCUGUUCCUUGUCUCUGCGUAUGCAGGUGUCCAUGUGCAUGUACCUCACCGGGCUCCUACUAUUUUCUGUACCUUGCAAUGUUGAAAGUGGACCAAUUUAAGACCUCCUUGGUUCAAAGGUUUGUUUUCGUAAGGUUUUUGAAGGAUUAGGACUUCCACAGUGUGAUCGAUGCCCUAUCAAUUAAAACACAAGUGCUGCUAUGCGAACGACACUGUCCGGCUGAUUUUCUGAUGAUGCUAUGGAUUCAACCAUGCAUGAAUAGGAGCAAGUGUCGCACAACCAUUGGAUCAAGCAUCGUCUGAAAAUUGACCGGCUAGAAAAAGCGGGACCCAGAAGCAAAUAGAAAAAUCCGUCCGAGCCAUCAACUCAUUGCUUUAUGUGAGUUUCUCCGGUAUGGCUCGCUUCUUUCAAUGAGCCAGGUAGCUAAUUGCUUGCUGCUCCGUGCAUUUGGCAUCGAAGCAACUACUUGUUCCGGUUCCUGAUAUUUUUGCGACAUUGGCUAGGUAAACAGGUAGUGCAUGUCAUCGAUGCAAAUGAAGGAAAAGUGAAUUUGGCACCGGUUUGAGCAUAUAUAGUGGAGGGUCUUACAAUACUUAGGAUUUUUUUAGUUCUACCUUGGUUGCUUGAUUCAAUAUUGAAUCCUAUAUUUUUUUCUCAGAAAUUAUUUGUGGUAUAUUCCAUAGAAAAUCUAGUGUCCGCUCACAUAAAUAUUCCUUCAAAUCUGAUAUUGAUCUGUGUCGCUUCUACGGAUGGUGACAUAAAUAUGGUUAAAAUGUUUUGUUAAUGUGCAUUAUGAUUCUAGUCAAGUCGUGAAUCAUAGUUCAACAAUGUAUGUUCUUUUCUAUGGAAAACAGUAUAUAUAUGACUGCCUUUCUAAAA